rnacentral:rRNA from 1 species
AGAGUUUGAUCCUGGCUCAGGAUGAACGCUGGCGGCGUGCUUAACACAUGCAAGUCGAACGAAGCUCUUUGAUCGGAGGAUUCGUCCAAAGUGAUGAGAAGACUUAGUGGCGGACGGGUGAGUAACGCGUGGGUAACCUGCCAUAUACAGGGGGAUAACAGUUAGAAAUGACUGCUAAUACCGCAUAAGCGCACAGUAAGGCAUCUUACAGUGUGAAAAGCCGAGACGGUAUAUGAUGGACCCGCGUCUGAUUAGCUAGUUGGUGAGGUAACGGCUCACCAAGGCGACGAUCAGUAGCCGGCCUGAGAGGGUGAACGGCCACAUUGGGACUGAGACACGGCCCAAACUCCUACGGGAGGCAGCAGUGGGGAAUAUUGCACAAUGGGGGAAACCCUGAUGCAGCGACGCCGCGUGAGUGAAGAAGUAAUUCGUUACGUAAAGCUCUAUCAGCAGGGAAGAAAAUGACGGUACCUGACUAAGAAGCCCCGGCUAACUACGUGCCAGCAGCCGC